UAGGGAAUAUUGGACAAUGGGCGCAAGCCUGAUCCAGCCAUUCCGCGUGCAGGACGAAGGCCUUCGGGUUGUAAACUGCUUUUGUACGGAACGAAAAGCCCUUCUCUAAUACAGAGGGGUCAUGACGGUACCGUAAGAAUAAGCACCGGCUAACUACGUGCCAGCAGCCGCGGUAAUACGUAUGGUGCGAGCGUUAAUCGGAAUUACUGGGCGUAAAGCGUGCGCAGGCGGUUAUGUAAGACAGAGGUGAAAUCCCCGGGCUCAACCUGGGAACUGCCUUUGUGGCUGCAGGGCGAGGAUGCGGCGGAGGGGGAUGGAAUUCCGCGUGUAGCAGUGAAAUGCGUAGAUAUGCGGGGGAACACCGAUGGCGAAGGCAAUCCCCAGGGCCUGCACUGACGCCCAUGCAAGAAAGCGUGGGGAUCAAACA
rnacentral:rRNA from 1 species